rnacentral:rRNA from 1 species
UGGGGAAUAUUGGACAAUGGGCGAAAGCCUGAUCCAGCCAUGCCGCGUGUGUGAAGAAGGUCUUCGGAUUGUAAAGCACUUUAAGUUGGGAGGAAGGGCAGUAAGCGAAUACCUUGCUGUUUUGACGUUACCGACAGAAUAAGCACCGGCUAACUCUGUGCCAGCAGCCGCGGUAAUACAGAGGGUGCAAGCGUUAAUCGUAAUUACUGGGCGUAAAGCGCGCGUAGGUGGUUCGUUAAGUUGAAUGUGAAAGCCCCUGGCUCAACCUGGGAGCUGCAGCCAAAACUGGCGAGCUAGAGUAGGGCAGAGGGUGGUGGAAUUUCCUGUGUAGCGGUGAAAUGCGUAGAUAUAGGAAGGAACACCAGUGGCGAAGGCGACCACCUGGGCUCAUACUGACACUGAGGUGCGAAAGCGUGGGGAGCAAACAGG